CACGUAGGGCGCAAGCGUUGUCCGGAAUUAUUGGGCGUAAAGAGCUCGUAGGUGGUCUGUUGCGUCCGCUGUGAAAACUCGGGGCUUAACCCCGAGCCUGCAGUGGAUACGGGCAGACUAGAGUUCGGUAGGGGAGUCUGGAAUUCCUGGUGUAGCGGUGAAAUGCGCAGAUAUCAGGAGGAACACCGGUGGCGAAGGCGGGACUCUGGGCCGAUACUGACGCUGAGGAGCGAAAGCGUGGGGAGCAAACAGG
rnacentral:rRNA from 1 species